rnacentral:rRNA from 1 species
UACGGAGGAUCCGAGCGUUAUCCGGAUUUAUUGGGCUUAAAGGGAGCGUAGGCGGGUUGUUAAGUCAGUUGUGAAAGUUUGCGGCUCAACCGUAAAAUUGCAGUUGAUACUGGCAUCCUUGAGUACAGUAGAGGUAGGCGGAAUUCGUGGUGUAGCGGUGAAAUGCUUAGAUAUCACGAAGAACUCCGAUUGCGAAGGCAGCCUGCUGGACUGUAACUGACGCUGAUGCUCGAAAGUGUGGGUAUCAAACAGG